AUGGAUCUUGAGUUCGGGAGGGGCAUGAGAUCCCCGCAGAGGGACUCAUGGAAGACGACCAUGGUCCUGGCAUACCAGAGCCUGGGGGUGGUGUACGGGGACCUCAGCAUCUCCCCCCUCUACGUCUUCAAGAGCACCUUCGCCGAGGACAUCCAGCACUCGGACACCAACGAGGAGAUCUUCGGCGUCCUCUCCUUCGUCUUCUGGACGCUCACCCUCAUCCCUCUCAUCAAGUACGUCUCCAUUGUCCUUCGAGCCCACGACAAUGGCGAGGGAGGGACGUUCGCCCUCUACUCGCUGAUUUGCCGGCACGCCAAUGUGAGCCUCCUGCCCAACAGGCAGAUUGCGGACGAGGAGCUCUCCACCUACAAGCUGGAGCGCAACCCUGAGACCGUGGACAAGACCCGCGUCAAGGUGUGGCUGGAGAAGCACAAGAACCUGCACACCGCCCUCCUCAUCAUGGUUCUCAUUGGCACCUGCAUGGUCAUUGGGGACGGUGUCCUCACGCCGGCUAUAUCUGUGUUCUCAGCUGUGUCAGGCCUUGAGUUCUCCUUGUCCAAAGAUCACCAUGAAUAUGCCGUCAUUCCAAUAACAUGCGUCAUAUUAGCAUUUCUGUUUGCCCUCCAGCAUUUUGGCACACAUCGAGUUGGAUUUAUCUUUGCCCCGAUAGUUCUAGCCUGGCUACUCUGCAUGAGUGCUCUUGGCCUUUAUAAUAUCAUACAUUGGAAUCCUCAUGUCUAUCAAGCUCUGAAUCCCUAUUACAUGUUCAAGUUCCUAAAGAAGACUAGGAAAUAUGGCUGGAUGUCACUCGGUGGAAUUUUGCUCUGCAUGACAGGAUCUGAAGCAAUGUUCGCCGAUCUUGGACACUUCUCAUACAGCGCAAUCCAGCUUGCUUUCACUUCUUUGGUUUACCCCGCGUUGAUUCUGGCAUACAUGGGUCAGGCAGCUUACUUAUCAAAACAUCAUGACUUUUACUCAAACUCUCAAGUUGGAUUUUACAUAGCAGUUCCAGAUAAGGUGAGAUGGCCUGUUCUUGUACUGGCUAUUCUGGCUUCAGUUGUUGGAAGCCAAGCAAUCAUCAGCGGAACAUUCUCAAUAAUCAAUCAGAGUCAGUCCCUAAGCUGCUUCCCUCGGGUAAAAGUUGUACACACAUCUGAGAAAAUUCAUGGGCAGAUAUACAUCCCUGAGAUCAACUGGCUACUCAUGAUCCUCUGCAUUGCCGUGACUGUUGGAUUCAGAGACACUAAGCACAUGGGAAACGCAUCCGGACUAGCAGUGAUCACCGUGAUGCUGGUUACCACAUUCCUGACAUCCCUUGUGAUCAUGGUGUGCUGGCACAAGCCACCCCUGCUGGCCCUGGGCUUCCUCCUCUUCUUCGGCUCCGUGGAGGCGCUCUACUUCUCGGCGUCGCUCAUCAAGUUCCUGGAGGGCGCCUGGCUCCCUAUACUCCUGGCCCUCAUCCUCAUGGCCGUCAUGCUCGUGUGGCACAUCACCACCAUCAAGAAGUACGAGUUCGACCUGCAGAACAAGGUGACCCUGGAGUGGCUUCUGGCCCUGGGUGACAAGCUCGGCAUGGUCCGUGUGCCGGGCAUUGGCCUCGUCUACACCGACCUGACGUCGGGCGUCCCUGCCAACUUCUCCCGCUUCGUCACCAACCUCCCGGCGUUCCAUAAGGUCCUGGUCUUCGUGUGCGUCAAGUCGGUCCCGGUGCCGUACGUGUUCCCCGCCGAGCGCUAUCUCGUCGGCCGAGUGGGUCCGCCGGGCCACCGGUCGUACCGGUGCAUCGUGCGGUACGGCUACCGUGAUGUUCACCAGGACGUGGACUCGUUCGAGACGGAGCUCAUCGAGAGCCUGGCCAUGUUCAUCAAGCUCAACGCCUCCUACCGGUGCAGCGAGGUCAGCCAGAGCGAGCAGCUGGAGGAGUGGGAGCCGGGGCUGACCGUCAUCGGAAGCAACACGCUCCGUGAUCACGCGAGCUACGACUUGCAGGACAGUGUCCAGCACUCGGCCGCGUCCGUCGAGGUCGCCGACAGCCCCGGCGGCACGGGCUUGGAGUACAACUCGUCCAAGCAGGUGAGGUUCUUCAUAGACAGCCUGGUGGUGAGCCCCGAGGCGGACAAGCAGGUGGCGGAGGAGCUGGAGGCGCUGGCGGCGGCGAGGGAGGCCGGCACUGCCUUCAUCUUGGGGCACUCGCACGUGCAGUGCAAGCCUGGCUCCUCGGUGGUGAAGAAGCUGACGGUGGUCGGGUACAACUUCCUCCGGCGCAACUGCCGUGGCCCGGACGUGGUGCUGCGGGUGCCGCCGGCGUCGCUCCUGGAGGUCGGCAUGGUCUAUGUUCUAUAA
rnacentral:rRNA from 1 species